AGAGUUUGAUCCUGGCUCAGAAUCAACGCUGGCGGCGUGCCUAACACAUGCAAGUCGAACGAGAAAGUGGAGCAAUCCAUGAGUACAGUGGCGACCGGGUGAGUAACACGUGACCAACCUGCCCUCGAGUGGGGAAUAACUCCGGGAAACCGGAGCUAAUACCGCAUAACAUCUUCGGAAUGCGAAUUCUGUGGAUCAAAGGAGCAAUCCGCUUGAGGAGGGGGUCGCGGCUGAUUAGCUAGUUGGUAGGGUAACGGCCUACCAAGGCGGAGAUCGGUAUCCGGCCUGAGAGGGCGCACGGACACACUGGAACUGAAACACGGUCCAGACUCCUACGGGAGGCAGCAGUGGGGAAUUUUGCGCAAUGGGGGAAACCCUGACGCAGCAACGCCGCGUGGAGGAUGAAGUCCCUUGGGACGUAAACUCCUUUCGACCCGGAAGAUACUGACGGUACGGGUGGAAGAAGCACCGGCUAACUCUGUGCCAGCAGCCGCGGUAAUACAGAGGGUGCGAGCGUUGUUCGGAAUUAUUGGGCGUAAAGGGCGCGUAGGCGGUGCGGUAAGUCACCUGUGAAAUCUCCU
rnacentral:rRNA from 1 species